GAUGAACGCUGGCGGCGUGCCUAAUACAUGCAAGUCGAGCGAACAGACGAGGAGCUUGCUCCUUCGACGUUAGCGGCGCACGGGUGAGUCACACGUAGGUAACCUACCUGUAAGUCUGGGAUGACUUCGGGACACCGGAGCUAACCCCGGAUAAUAUUUCGUACCGCAUGGUUCGAUAGUGAAAGAUGUCUUUGUUAUCUCUUAUAGCUGCACCUGCGCCGUUUUAGCUAGUUGGUAAGGUAACGGCUUACCAAGGCAACGAUACGUAGCCGACCUGAGAGGGUGAUCGCCUACACUGGAACUGAGACACGGUCCAGACGCCUACGGGAGGCAGCAGUAGGGAAUCUUCGGCAAUGGGCGAAAGCCUGACGGAGCAACGCCGCGUGAGUGAUGAAGGUCUUCGGAUCGUAAAACUCUGUUAUUAGGGAAGAACAAACGUGUAAGUAAAUGUGCACGUCUUGACGGUACCUAAUCAGAAAGCCACGGCUAACUACGUG
rnacentral:rRNA from 1 species